rnacentral:rRNA from 1 species
UACGAAGGGGGCUAGCGUUGCUCGGAAUUACUGGGCGUAAAGCGUGCGCAGGCGGUUUUGUAAGUCUGUUGUGAAAUCCCCGGGCUCAACCUGGGAAUGGCAAUGGAGACUGCAAGGCUAGAGUUUGGCAGAGGGGGGUAGAAUUCCACGUGUAGCAGUGAAAUGCGUAGAGAUGUGGAGGAAUACCGAUGGCGAAGGCAGCCCCCCUGGGAUAACACUGACGCUCAUGCACGAAAGCGUGGGGAGCAAACAGG